rnacentral:rRNA from 1 species
UACGAAGGGGGCUAGCGUUGCUCGGAAUCACUGGGCGUAAAGGGUGCGUAGGCGGGAUCUUAAGUCAGAGGUGAAAGCCUGGAGCUCAACUCCAGAACUGCCUUUGAUACUGGGAUUCUUGAGUUCGGGAGAGGUGAGCGGAACUGCGAGUGUAGAGGUGAAAUUCGUAGAUAUUCGCAAGAACACCAGUGGCGAAGGCGGCUCACUGGCCCGAUACUGACGCUGAGGCACGAAAGCGUGGGAU